UGGAUGGAGUUCUUCAGGAGAGGAGAGGGAGGGAGAGAAAAACACGCAGCAGAAACACGACAAUAAAAAUCAGCAACUGGGUCAUAUUUAUUGUGCUUAACUCUUAACCUGUUUGAAUUCAAAGUCAGAAAUUAAGAUUUCUUUUUUUUUUUUCUUUCGUGUGAAGGAGUUGGAAACAUGGCUGUGGUUUCCGGUAGUGAUAAGACACCACCCAUUUACCGGCAGUUUCCAGCCUGAGAGACACUUCCUGUUCUCAGAAACUGAGCGGCUUUCUCUCGCCUUGCAGCUGACGGCUCGUCCUUCAGCUGGAGCGGCGGCAGAAAUGCGGCUCGACCUCUCCGUUUACUCCUAAUGACCCCGGCCAGGUCGCCUCGCAGAAGUACGACCAAAGUGUCAAGUCAUCGCCGUAACGCCGCGCUGACUCACUUUGCCUCACGGCGGCGGUGAAUGAGCCGACCCGCUGUCCCCGCUCUCCCUGCGGUGGUUCUGGGAAGAGGAGGACGGGAAUCGCCACAAUGACUGCAGGAAUUUCAAAGAACCCGCAGCUUGUUUUACUGUAUGUGUGAGCGGGCAGCGCUGCACAAAAUGUUGACGGGUGCAUCCUGUUUAUGCUGCAGAAAUGGGCAAUUUGAGGGGAGAAAAAGUGGAGGAAAAAAAACGCUAGAAUAAAAAAAGGAAAGCAAAAUAUUGAUGCAAAGUUUAGUACCUUCAGUUACUAAACUAACUAACUUUUAGUUUAGUUUAGUAAAUGAACUUUAGUUGCUAAAGCUCAUGUAACUACCACAUUCUGCAUUCAAAAAGUGAAUGCAGAAUGAAAUAUUCCAAGCAAUUAGCUAUGGAGAUUACAUUACCCAGUUGGAAUAUUGUAUAUUCAGAAAGGUUUUUUGUAGUUCCCUAACUUUAUGUGUUGAGUUACAAAUCUGAAUUUUAGAAAAGUUCAAAGGUCAGAACAAUUAGCAAAGGGCAAAUCCACUUUAAUAAACCUGUUUACACCUCACACACUGAAAUAAAAACACUUUAGGCUGCA